GUAGGUGGCAAGCGUUGUCCGGGAAUUAUUGGGGCGUAAAGCGCGCGCAGGCGGUUCUUUAAGUCUGAUGUGAAAGCCCACGGGCUCAACCGUGGAGGGUCAUUGGAAACUGGAGAACUUGAGUACAGAAGAGGAAAGCGGAAUUCCACGUGUAGCGGUGAAAUGCGUAGAGAUGCGGAGGAACACCAGUGGCGAAGGCGGCUUUCUGGUCUGUAACUGACGCUGAGGCGCGAAAGCGUGGGGAGCAAACAGGAUUAGAUACCCUGGUAGUCCACGCCGUAAACGAUGAGUGCUAAGUGUUAGGGGGUUUCCGCCCCUUAGUGCUGCAGCUAACGCAUUAAGCACUCCGCCUGGGGAGUACGGCCGCAAAGGCUG
rnacentral:rRNA from 1 species